GCCGUUGCCCGUUCCCUGCAAAGCGGGAGCAGCAGGUGAAGUUGCGCGGCUGCCGAGGCAGCGGGCCGGGCCCGCCUCACUCACCUCAUCCCCUUGGCCGAACUGCAGCCCCAGGGCGACGAAGUGCUCCACCCGGAUGAAGCCGUCCGCAUCCUCAUCGCAAACGUCGAAAACCUCCUUGAGCUUCCGCAGGAACCGCAGGAGGCUCGUGGGCUCCAUCGCGGGCAUCAGCGGGAGGCCGGCGGCGCGGCCGCAGCAGCCAUGAUCGCCCGCGCCUUCAGCGGAGUUUCUUGGACUGCUCGUUAAGCCCACAGCUGUGAGCUGCCAGAGGGAAGCCCAGGAGGGGUUCUGGUUCCUGCACUGUGCCCCUCACCAGGGAUCGCGGGGCAGCAUCCUGGGGAGGUAGGAACACUGGCACUCAGGUACGUGCUGCCUCCCGCAGCACUUCUUCCCCAGCGGGGCUGCUGAGCACAGGUCACCAUCCAUCACCGAGUGACGUUCUGUAGGUGAUGGAUAGAGCUGCCCACCUAAAAUGACCACGAAAGUGAGCAGGUUUUGAAUUGAGACAGUAUCCAUUCAUUUGCUCCUUGCAGUAAGAGAGGCCCAUAGCAACCCUGAAAAGCCCAUGAUUAGAGCUGGCGAGUCGAAUUAAUCUAUUUUCUAGAACCAAUAGGAGUGUUCUCCUCAGGAAGUUUUGUUUCUUCCAGCACAAGUCUCUCAUUCCUUUUAUGUGCAAAUUCAGACUGAUCUGACAUCCCUGUAGGCUGUAAGUCAGCUGUCAGUCACCACCACAGGGACAGCACACGCUGCACUAGCGACACAGCUCCCCACAAAUCCACCCCCCGACGCAGAUGAGGAGCCGGUUCCAGAGCCCCUGCCACCUUGACCUUUGCUUGGUUUUACAACAAAUACAGAAGGGUUCUCCUGUUCCCUUUCUGAUAUACAAAAAGGUCUUUCCAAACUGGGGGGAAAAAAAAAAAUAUCAAAGUGCAGAGAUCAGAUACGACCCUUGGGAAGCAAAGAAUUUAGGAAGAGAUGUGAAGAGAUCUGAAAGAGAAAAGGGAGGCAAAAUAUUUGAUCAGGAAACUUCUCUGAAGUUGUCUAGUUAGAGCAGGAUUCUUAAGAUGUGUGGAUGUUUAGCUUUUAUCUCAGGACCCUUGAACUCAUAUUCAAGUUACAUGGGCAUCGAGCUUAGCAUAUCCCUUAGGGGCAUCUAUUCAAAGUAUUCAAAAAUCUGUGAGCUGUUAGCCCUCAGAGCUGUGGAAAGCACACCUAUGUGGAAUCAGCUGCCGUUAGUCUAAGUGCUCUGAAGUGGAGUUCAAGCUCUUCAAAGCUUGAGAGCGCACUUUUAUCAUUGUCCCACCUUGCUUGCUGAGAUAGCCUUGGGGUGCCUCCUUGCGCCAUCUGACUCACCUCCCUGUGCGCAGAUGGGCAGCUGAAGAGAGAAUUGGGAUGUGAGGGGCAGUCAGUUAAGGUCUAGGAUAAGCUGGGGGCGCCCCAAGGGUGCUGAAAUCAGGAUGCUGAGCUGAACACGUACCACACACUUGCACUGGUAAGGUACAGUUUGUAAAGCCAAACUGAGGAGGAGGUCAGUUCUUACUGCCAGUGGAUGUAGCUGGCAUCACUCCUUGCUGAUCUCUGCUUCUCUGGUUCGCGGUAGAACAGAUCUGCCAUUUUUCCUGACUGUAUCAAAUACUUGUUUAAUCAGAGGUGUUUGGCAGCUUCUUCAUUUGACUUGUGCGCUGUGUGGAAUAAAUACUUUGUAUGCUGUAAA